AUUCUCAGAAGAUAUUAUUUUGUUUAGAUUAAAUUACAAAAAGAAAUAACGUAAUUUUUAUUAAGAAAAGUCCGAACAAAUGCUUCUUCUACCCCUCAAGGAAAACAUUCACAGCUUCCAUGCCGCUCCUCUUCAUGCCAUCACUAUCUCAAAGCUUCAUUAUGUUGCCACUAAUCGCGCUCCCACGCAACACCAUGGUAGACUAAGACGAAGUUGAAGCAGAGGAAAGAGUGGUGAUGGGAAAAAAUUGAAAGGAAUUAUGUGUGCGUGAUUGACAAGGCAUGUCGGUAAUUGAAUGAAACUUUUUCUUUCAUUGAAUUUUAUUGGUGGAGUUGAAAUUACUUGCUUGAAAAUUAUGUUUUUGUUUGAUUCCAGCAAAUAUCAAUGAGAUUGAUUUUAUUUUAUUUUUUUAAU
rnacentral:lncRNA from 1 species